rnacentral:rRNA from 1 species
UACGGAGGGUGCGAGCGUUAUCCGGAAUCACUGGUUUAAAGGGUGCGUAGGCGGUCUGAUAAGUCAGUUGUGAAAUUCCUCGGCUUAACCGAGUGGACUGCGAUUGAUACUGUCAGACUUGAAUCAGGUUGAGGUAGGCGGAAUGUGACAUGUAGCGGUGAAAUGCUUAGAUAUGUCAUAGAACACCAUUGCGAAAGGCAGCUUGCUGGGCUUAGAUUGACGUGAGGCACGAAAGCGUGGGGAG